UAAAAUGUCAAAGGCAAGGUUACUUCAUAACAUGCUACAUUAAAAAAGGAGUUCUCAGGGCUGCCAACCUUACAGUUGAGGUUGAGUGGUAGUAUAUUUCUCCUACAUAA
rnacentral:snoRNA from 1 species